ACGGGAGGCAGCAGUGGGGAAUAUUGGGCAAUGGGCGAAAGCCUGACCCAGCGACGCCGCGUGAAGGAUGAAGAUCUUCGGAUUGUAAACUUCUGUCGACAGGGAAGAAACAAAUGACGGUACCUGUUGAGAAAGCCACGGCUAACUACGUGCCAGCAGCCGCGGUAAUACGUAGGUGGCAAGCGUUAUCCGGAUUUACUGGGUGUAAAGGGUGUGUAGGCGGGAUUGCAAGUCAGAUGUGAAAAUUAUGGGCUCAACUCAUAACCUGCAUUUGAAACUGUAGUUCUUGAGAGUCGGAGAGGUAAACGGAAUUCCUGGUGUAGCGGUGAAAUGCGUAGAUAUCAGGAGGAACACCGGUGGCGAAGGCGGUUUACUGGACGAUUACUGACGCUGAGACACGAAAGCGUGGGGAGCAAACAGGAUUAGAUACCCUGGUA
rnacentral:rRNA from 2 species